GUCCACGCCGUAAACGAUGGAUACUAGUUGUUGGAAAUUUCAGUGACUAAGCGAAAGUGAUAAGUAUCCCACCUGGGGAGUACGUUCGCAAGGAUGAAACUCAAAGGAAUUGACGGGGGCCCGCACAAGCGGUGGAGCAUGUGGUUUAAUUCGAUGAUACGCGAGGAACCUUACCAAGGCUUGAAUGCAUUAUGACAGGACUGGAAACAGUUUUUUCUCGGACAGAAUGCAAGGUGCUGCAUGGCUGUCGU
rnacentral:rRNA from 1 species